AAGACUGAGCGUCAGGUUUACAUCGAUGUUACUAUUCCGGACUCAAGUAGCCUUGCUUUCGCUGUCCCACCAAUCUUCAACCAAUACUGACCAAGUCUCAAUCAAGCUUCGUAAAGCCUGAACUCACUGUCAGCUCGCGCCUGGUAAACUUAUCCUUAAAUUGUGGCGAUGUUCUACCUACAUAAAAAGUACAAAAUUCAAAAUGAUUCCAAGGAUAAAUGAUCGAGUCUGCUGAAAAUGAAAAGCGGCUGACUGUACGGUGUCUUUACUACUUCAUCUUCAUAGCAAAUGAAAAAGAUGUCGAGAAGAGAAGCAACACCAUUUCUCGUCGACGUAGGUAAUUUGGGAUUAAUUGCUUUCAUCAUUCCCAUUGAACAGUCUACAGAACUGGAAGAAUGUAGAAGUGAAGUGAUCUCUCUGGAAAUUUACGUACAUUUAAAGUGAUGUACUUUUUCAACUGCCAAGAAUCUUCGUGAGUGGUCCAUUCUUCUGGAGGAAGUGCGAUGAUACCGGAACCAUCGCCCAA